rnacentral:rRNA from 1 species
CCUACGGGUGGCAGCAGUGGGGAAUAUUGGGCAAUGGGCGCAAGCCUGACCGAGCAACGCCGCGUGAAGGAAGAAGGCUCUCGGGUUGUAAACUUCUUUUCUCAGGGACGAAGCAAGUGACGGUACCUGAGGAAUAAGCCACGGCUAACUACGUGCCAGCAUCCGCGGUAAUAAGUAGGUGGCAAGCGUUAUUCGGAUUUACUGGGUGUAAAGGGUAGGUAGGCGGGGAGGCAAGUCAGAUGUGAAAACCACGGGCUCAACCUGUGGCAUGAAUUUGAAACUGUGUUUCUGGAGUGCUGUAGAGGCAGACGGAAUCCCUAGUGUAGAGGUGAAAGGCGUAGAUAUUAGGGGGAACACCAGUGGCGAGGGCGGUUUGUUGGACAGCAACUGACGCUGAGGCGCGAAAGCGUGGGGAGCAAACAGGAUUAGAUCCCUUGUAGUC